rnacentral:rRNA from 1 species
ACGGAAGGCAGCAGUAGGGAAUCUUCGGCAAUGGGGGCAACCCUGACCGAGCAACGCCGCGUGGGUGAAGAAGGUUUUCGGAUCGUAAAACUCUGUUGUAAGAGAAGAACGUGUGUGAGAGUGGAAAGUUUACACAGUGACGGUAACUUACCAGAAAGGGACGGCUAACUACGUGCCAGCAGCCGCGGUAAUACGUAGGUCCCGAGCGUUGUCCGGAUUUAUUGGGCGUAAAGCGAGCGCAGGCGGUUUAAUAAGUCUGAAGUUAAAGGCAGUGGCUUAACCAUUGUUCGCUUUGGAAACUGUUAGACUUGAGUGCAGAAGGGGAGAGUGGAAUUCCAUGUGUAGCGGUGAAAUGCGUAGAUAUAUGGAGGAACACCGGUGGCGAAAGCGGCUCUCUGGUCUGUAACUGACGCUGAGGCUCGAAAGCGUGGGGAGCAAACAGGAUUAGAUACCCUGGUA